UGUUCUUAUUCGCUGACAUUUGUUUUCCAAUUGCGUGAAAUUUGGUCAUUUCCUUAGUGUUUCGCUGACCGACCUGUGCUGGUAUUGUGAUUAAGAGCUAAUACACAUUUUUCGGACGAUUCUGCUGUGCUGCGUUCCUGCUCCGCCUGUAUAUUGCUCCGCCCGUAUUUUAUAGUGUUGCGUUCCUGUUGCGCCUUUGCAUUAGUGUGUGCGUUGUGAUUUAGACACGUUGAAGUAAGUUGAAACCAGGUUCUCGUUUGUUAAAAACCUAAAAAACCAUUUA
rnacentral:lncRNA from 1 species